rnacentral:lncRNA from 1 species
AACCAAGGGCAGCUUGUAUGGCUGGGGCCACGGGCGCUGUGGCGCAGUGCUAGGCGAGUCACAUGGCUCAUGUCUUUUUGGGCUUUUGGACAUGACGCGAGCUAGGUAGGUGAUUGAGAGAAAUGAAGAGGUUGCGAGCCUCAUGAGCUGCUGGAAUGUUGGGUUGAACUCCCCUACUGGGUACCACGAAUGGCGUUGGCUACUUUAACUCUCUUCGUCAGGAGAAACGUGGGC